rnacentral:rRNA from 1 species
CGUAGGGUGCAAGCGUUGUCCGGAUUUAUUGGGUUUAAAGGGUGCGUAGGCGGCCUUGUAAGUCAGUGGUGAAAUACUCCAGCUUAACUGGAGGGGUGCCAUUGAUACUGCAGGGCUUGAGUUAAGUUGAAGUUGGCGGAAUUGACGGUGUAGCGGUGAAAUGCUUAGAUAUCGUCAAGAACACCGAUAGUGAAGACAGCUAACUAAACUUUUACUGACGCUGAGGCACGAAAGUGUGGGGAUCAAACAGGAUUAGAUACCCUGGUAGUCCACACUGUAAACGUUGAUUACUCGCUGUGUGCGAUAUACAGUACGCGGCCAAGCGAAAGCGAUAAGUAAUCCACCUGGGGAGUACGCCGGCAACGGUG